UUAAAGGUAUUCCGGUAGACGAUGGGGAUGCGUUCCAUUAGAUAGUAGGCGGGGUAACGGCCCACCUAGUCUUCGAUGGAUAGGGGUUCUGAGAGGAAGGUCCCCCACAUUGGAACUGAGACACGGUCCAGACUCCUACGGGAGGCAGCAGUGAGGAAUAUUGGUCAAUGGGCGAGAGCCUGAACCAGCCAAGUAGCGUGAAGGAUGACUGCCCUAUGGGUUGUAAACUUCUUUUAUAAAGGAAUAAAGUCGGGUAUGGAUACCCGUUUGCAUGUACUUUAUGAAUAAGGAUCGGCUAACUCCGUGCCAGCAGCCGCGGUAAUACGGAGGAUCCGAGCGUUAUCCGGAUUUAUUGGGUUUAAAGGGAGCGUAGAUGGAUAUUUAAGUCAGUUGUGAAAGUUUGCGGCUCAACCGUAAAAUUGCAGUUGAUACUGGAUAUCUUGAGUGCAGUUGAGGCAGGCGGAAUUCGUGGUGUAGCGGUGAAAUGCUUAGAUAUCACGAAGAACUCCGAUUGCGAAGGCAGCCUGCUAAGCUGCAACUGACAUUGAGGCUCGAAAGUGUGGGUAUCAAACAGGAUUAGAUACCCUGGUAGUCCACACGGUAAACGAUGAAUACUCGCUGUUUGCGAUAUACUGCAAGCGGC
rnacentral:rRNA from 1 species